UCUUUCCACCCGAGCGCGAGGUAGACGCCGGGGCCACCCGCAGCACGCAGAGCUUCUGGGAGCCGGUGGCAAGGCCGAAUUGGGAUGCAAACCAAAUGGACGUGGGUGACUGGCAGAAAACGCCUCCCACAAAUGGGAGGGAUUUCGGAGGGAACCGAAAGAAAGUUGGAAACCAAGUUACAGCUGAAGCCAGGGCCUUCUCCUACCCGACUCCCGCGGCCCAUUAAAACCUACGUGAGCUUAUCUGAUACCUUCAAGCCCUGUUUUGUGGCCCCAUCUCCUCUUCAGAUGGCAAUGUGCCUAGCUACACUACAUUUCCUGCCUCCCUUGCAGCUAGAGGUGGCCAAUGAGAUAUAAACAGAUGCUGUAAGACAUGAUGUCUAGAUCCCUAGCAGUCAUCCCAGACCAUGAGAUAACUUUGAGAAGGAACACCAUGUACAAAGGACUGUGCAGAAGAGGGUUGGCAGGAGCCUGGAUCUCUGAUGACUUCACCCUUGACUGCCCACCUCACCAGGCUGUACAAGCCACUGUUACUGGCAGAUGAAUGCAAGUUCUAAAACAUACAACUACUGACCUACUGAAUUUUCCAAGGAGCACAUUUCCACUGGAGACAUUUGGUGCCUGCAGAAAAUACUUACUGAGGAAUUUCUAUGGGACCAGCCUGAAGUAGAAGCCACUGAAGAGAGGCCCUGAAGCAGCUUUUCUUCCUUAUCCCAGAGACCAACAUGGUUACCCCAGCCCAGAGUCACCCUCCUUCCUCUAAGCUGUCAAAACCCUGGCUGCCUUUACAAUGAUUCUGACAAUGAAUCCCACCCUGCUGGUGAUG
rnacentral:lncRNA from 1 species